ensembl:lncRNA
GUGGUAGACUCCUGAGGAGUCUGAAGAGAAAGGCACAGGCCUCUCCCUCCUUUCACCCAUGCACUCAAUGACUUGGAUUUCUUUGUAACUUAAGCCGGUGGGACACAACCAUGUGUCUUGGUCUUGGGGCUCACACUGGUUGCUUUUUUUUUUUUUUUUUUUUUUUAAACCCUCUCUGCCCAAGAAAAUUCUGAAUUGGUUUACUAAACUGUCCUGACUCUUGUGCUGAAGUCUGAGUUUGUAAGCCCACAUCUUUGAAAAGGGUUGUCAGACUGGAUGAUCAAGAUGGGCCCUUCGAGUCCUGAAGCCUAUGGAGCUCUGAUCUAAAAUGACAUGAUCACACACCACUUUCCCCUCAGCGAUGCUGACUUCAGUGCACCAGGUAGAUCUGUACUGUGGCUGAAUUAGUUUGCUCUCUUUUGGAUAACUGUUCCAUUUGUUGGAGAAUUUGAGUUAUAUAUAGAGUGGGAAUGUUAAGCACUCCUUCCCCACCCUGUCCCCUCCCCCCCCAAAAAAGAAAAAAAGAAUCACUCUGGAGAAUUGUGUUCUAUCCUUGACUCUGCUACAUACUUUUUGCUUAAAAUAAAUUUGGGUGUCCACAUGUGAUUAUUCAUUUCUGAAGAUGUAAGUAGUUUAAAAAUUCAUUUAAAAGCAAAAAUAUGUGUUUUGUACACAAAUGAUGGCACAUACUGAUAAAUUCUUUGUACAUUUUUAAAAGACUCUUUAUCCAAAUUUGCACAGAAUUUUGAAUUCAUGCAUCUGGGGAUAAGAGUACCAGCUCACUACAGUGGUACAAAGAUUGGUAAAGAGCUACAAAAACCAUACAAAUAAAAGAACUACACAAGAAAGUAAGUAAUUGUGUUUUCAGAACAGAGACCAACUGAUGUGCAGUAAAUAAGACAGUACUACACAUUCUUUAAUGAAGACAAAGCAAAAUAGGAAAUAGCUGUUCAUAACUCAACUGCAUUAGAUGAAAAAUCCUCCUAUAGAAAGUAAAUUAAGUAUAUAAGAACAGUUAAAAGCAUAUGAAAAUGGUCUUAUUGAUUUCCAUAUCUAUUCUAUUAAUGUACAAAUCCAGAUAAUGUCUUGUUUUCAGCUCAUUUAAAAUGUUACCUGAGUGCAGAUGAAUUAUAGCAGAUGGACAUCUCCACUGAUCAUUCAAAUGCCAGAGAGCUCUCUACACUCUGCUUUAAAAUCCAUACUAGCUAAUUAUAACCAGCAUAAAUCAAAAAGAAUGUCUACUGCACAAAGUAACUUGAAGCACUUUAGUAUCAAGCUGAUUUUUGUCUGAAAAUCAUCUCUCUUGAUUUAUCAUCUGAAGAAUGCUUAUCAAAAGGCCUGUUAGAAAACAUACCUAUAAUUUUAGUUAUAGAGCUUCUCUCUCACUCUGAGCAUUUCCCUUGAUAGCUAAACAGUGUUUUUGAAACACUGUGGUGUUAUGUCAGACCCCUUGCCUCACAUAAAUAUGAAGCAAUCCAAAGGAAAUGACUGCGGUCAUAUAGCACAUGGUCCCACAUUGAGAUCCUGAAUCAGACAUAUUACUUUUAAUACUUUUGAAUCAGAUAUGUUACAAAUAAAUAAAUGGGAAAACUACAUCCUGUAGAAUAAACUCUUAAAAUGGAAGAGUUGGGGAUACCUGCAGGGUAGUUUAGCCUUUUAGACUUUUAAACCUGCUUUGUAGAGAGAAUCUCUUUUGACUAUAAAUUCAGGUCAUGGUGUUAUCAAAGGUGGUAGAAGACUAGACAGAAGCAUCCUGUAAUCUCUUCAGAAAAUAUUUGAAAAAGGCUUACAUAUACCCCCAGCAGAAAUAUAUUUUCCUGUCCCUCUAUCAGAUUUAUGUAUUCUAGAACAAACAUUAAAGGAUUGUUCUUUGGGGACGACAGUCACUUGUAUCAGUGGCUUAACAGUCAUUGUAAUAAAGGAAUAAAAUGUUUUGUUCAGCUGGCAGGCCUAUAUUCUCUGUGAUAAAUGUGGGAUCUUCUGCAGUGGUGGGAAGGAUUUGAUUCUUACACUGAAAGAAUGCUGCUGAAAAUCCAUAGCUGUGUUUUUUUUACACUGCAGGAGUCACCAAACAAGGAUUUUGGAAGAUGCAUAUGAUUUACCAGUCUACUAUGCUAACAUCAUUUUGACAGGUGUGAUGCAUCAACACAGUAUUAUAAGCUUAAGAUAAAUUACAGCAUUCUUUUUCAUCAAGCAGCAAACUGCAGUGGAGUAUUGCACAAAGCUCAGUGUGUUCAGUCAGUAGGCAUUUGUGCCUGCAGCCUAAAAUAGAAUGUCUUUCUGUGAUGGGUUAAUCCCUCUUUGGCUCUGAUCCUGGGUAGAUUACUAGUUAUAGCAUGCCAUGAAAGACUGCUGUGUAAGGCAAGUAUUUCACUUAAGUCACUUACCACAUUUUCUGGACAACAGAAAUUUCUUGUGCAUCUGCUAGAAAUGUGGGGAUAAUUUAAUUGCCUUUGCUAAGAUUUCCAAUGUAAUUUAAUAAUCAUUUUUAUUAGAAUGUGCAUAUUGUUAGAAGUUAUCAGAACACUGUUACUCCUGGUGCAUUCUGAACAGCAGGUAGAAAAAUCAGACUUUGAUUUUGACUAGGGGUCCUAAUCAUUUCUUUUCAUAAUUUAGAGCACAAAAUGUGUUUGGUCAUUCUCUAUCACUUAUUAUCAUUAUUAUUAUUAUUAUUUUUAAUUCUGGUUGUCUGAACUGUAUGACAAGACCGCAUUCUACUUUACAUUUACCCAAAGGUCAAUAAAUAUCAGAACUUGGCAAAGAAACAAUGAAUAUUCUUCAAACAUUUCCCUGCAAGAAAAAUAGGCUCAUUUCAGCUGAGUGGAUGUCUCUAUUUGAAGGAUAUUUUUCACUGACAUUCAAUUAAUUGAAUUUUCCUGAAGUGGAUGUAUGUAGAAGCUAAGUGAUAAAUUUUAGGAAGUGUACACUUUUAUUUCCCUUAGUUUUAGUGCCAAGUAGGGCUGCAUUUAUAGUGCUUCAUUUUUAAGAUGGUCUAUACAGUGAUUUUUAUCAAAUGGUCCUAUUUGAAAUGUUCUAGCUUGGUAUCCAAAUCAUUAUCUUCAUUUGCAAGUCAGCAAAAUUCUGUGGAUUACAAACACUUAAGCUUUCAGAGCUUGACAUGUGGUCAGAGAAUGGAAAUGGCACUGUGCAAUGGCCAUAACUAGCCAAAUCUCCCAGAUAUUUUGUGGGAGCUUUAUGUAUGAAGAAAUGUUGAGAUGUUAGAAAAAUAGGACAUUAACCAAAAGUAAUGAAAAUGUCAGCAAAAAGUACUGAGUUAAAAUUUAUAAAGAUAAUUCUUGAGGAAAUUAAUUUGUAAACAUUUGUGAAGGGAAAGGAGAAAAGCUUGUGAGAGAAACAAAUACUUGAAAUAAAUAUGGGUAACUAUAAGGAGCAGGAAUUGUUUUUAUUUUUUUUAUUCUAAUAUCAUUGCUAUAUUUUGUCUUUUUUUCCAUUCUAUUUCUAUUUAGAUUUUAGCUCAAAAUGGAGAUGGACUGAUCUAAAAUAUUCGUCAAAAAUGCUUAAACACAUUGAGAACCCAAAUAUACUUUUAAAUAUGGUCAAUGUGUGUCUUUUGUACAUAGAUCUGUGUUCAUAGUACUAGAAAACUGUUGAGGCCAAAUAGUAGAGAGCUUGGACCCUGACGGUAUGCAGUCUUGUUUACACAGAUUAGACUGAAUAGAAAGUCUAUGGCUGGCUGUGAAGACUGCAAGAUUUUCAGGCUGAACAGGCUCAUAUGGAAGCAGCUGAGGCUUUGUAUGAAAAAGUUAGCUUUGUAAAUGAGGAAAGUGAAUAACUGAAUAAAUGCUCAAAUCUUACUCCCUUUUGGUAUAAGAAAGUGGGAGAUACUCUGCAUGGGUGAUUAACUGUAGUGCAGUGAUCACUUUUCAGUCCAGCCUCGACUCCAUUUUAGACAUCAAAAAAAGGUUUAUAAAGCAAAGUAGUCUUCAAAAUUUUCUGUUAACAAUCAUUCUGAGGAAGAGAUUAAAAAAUGUCAAUGAAAUCAGAAAGUCAAGAGGUUUAUUUGGCAUAAUGGGUGAACAGGGAAGUUCUGUUUUUCAAGGAAGAUCAGGGAGUUCAAUGGUAGGUACAAGGCCACAGUACUAAAUGCUGACAUGGACUUUCCAAGGUUGCCCAGAGUAGUGCUAAAGUCAAUAAUUCCAUAUUGCACCUGUCAGAAGCUACAACAUAAUUGCUUUGAAGUGAGGCAUAUUAACAUCCAUGUGCUCAGCAAACUAAGCAAUUAUAAACAGGUCUCUGCUCUCCCUGUUGGCUGUUAUAAUUAUUUGUUCAAUUUGUUGCUUUGCCUCAAUUCUAGUUAAUGUGACUUAUGAGCACUUAGCACAUGCUGGAAAGACAAGGGAGAGAUGUGGCUGCUGGUAGUCUGGCAGUAGUCCACAAACUGUGACCUUAUAGUGACAGGCAAAGAUGGGGCUGAUAGUCAGGAAGGAGUACAGGAUUGUAGGGCAGGAUGCUGCCAGUUGGCAUGGAAACACUAACUCUCAAAGCAUUAAGAUUUUAAAGAAACCAAACUUUUCUUUUCUUUUCUUUUUCCUAGAACAAGAUAGCAAAUGAUUUUGUAACAGUUGCAGAGACUGCUGAUUUUGCCUUUACAAGAUCAUACACACAGUACUACAGGAAUUUGAAAAAAACAUAUAUCUCUCAAUAUAUUACAUGGGAAAUGAGGAAAAUUGUGUUCUUAUGAAAUUUGUUAUCACUGAGUUCGCCCAAUAUGCAGGUGAUUACUUGAAUUUUCCAAGCAGCAGAUGUUCGGAAAUGGGGAGACAGAAGCUGGCCAAGAAAGCUGCCUCAGCAGCAGUGUGGGUUAUAAAUUCAGCAUGGACAAUCUGUUCUUCAAAGUAGAGCUAAAGUGAUUUAAAAGGUUCGUCAAGGUCACGUAGGAAUACUGUACAGGAGUGCUCCAAAGCACCAGCUGUCAGGACUGUCAAGUCUUGCUAAUGAACAGUGGAAUUUGUAGAAAAUAAUACUAAUGCUAAUUGAAACCUGAACAGCUUAGAAGUCUAGCAGGUUAUUGCUAUUGAUUCAUAUCCUAUGAUAAUGUCUCCUACAGAGCAUGCAGAAGUGCCUGUCUACCUGUAGUAUUAGCUAAUCCAUUGUUGAUGCCAUUCAUACAAGUAUCUGGAAGGUCUGAAGCCCUCUUCAGAGAGAGGGGCGUUCUAUUACUAUAGAAAUGAUGGAUCACUUUCUGAUUUUGUAAUAAAUUCUGAGCAGUAUCUUCACCUCAGAAAAGGAGAGGAAAGUGCCAAGAUAGCUUACAGUUCAUUAGGAUUUUUUCCAAGGGCUGGAGUGGGUCUGAAUAAUCUCAGUUAUAAUUUAAUUAAUCUAAUUAUCUUAGUUUCUGUUUUGGGGAAAGAGGUGGAGGCCUUUUUUAUAAAAAGGAUUAAUAAGGAACCAUUAAUAAGGAACCUAGCAGCAGUUGUGUCUUAGGUAUAUGUGCCAAGUCUGACCCUAGAGUUGAAAGAGAGAUAUGUAAAUUCUGGACCUUAAAAUGCUAAAUUGCCCCUAAAUUGCCAAUUAUGAUCACGUGUGUCUGCAUAGGAGAACAAAUCAGAACUCACCCUAGCUCUGGUCUCAUGGUCCAACUGCAGGCACACAGCACUGAGUUUAAUCAAACAAGCCUCACUUCUUCAUUCAGGAAUCUCUGAAGCUCCAUGGUAUGUAUUCCCUAUGUUCUUCUUUAAAUUCGGUUCCAUUUUAAAAUUAGAACUUACAUGGCACUAAGAAUAAUACCGAUAUCUAAGUAGACUGUCUCUCAAGGGUUACAUGACACAUGUAACAAGUAUGUUCAAUUUCAAUGCAGUUUGUAGACUUCGUUAAAGAGAGCAACAUUAUCCCACAAACAGCAUCCAAAACAUUCAAAAAAAUUUUAUAGACCAACAGUGAGGGCCUUGAUAAUGAAGAAAUUUGGUCAGUUUUUUCUCUACAUUGACUUAUGAAAUUUCUUUAAUUGAGUUUUAUGAAAUUCAUCUCAGAAAUUUAGUAAAUAAAAAUCACAGGUUGCAAAUGGUAUUUGUGUAGAUAUGUAAAAGAUCUACAGGAAGACCCUUUGAAUUUUGGGAAUGUGAGCCUAUUUCUACUACUCAAGUGGUACAGAUCCUGAGUGUCACUUAUUAAGUUAUUACUGCAAAACCACAGACUUCUCAUGUCACCAGUUGGACCUCCCUUUGCUUCUUGUCACUGCUUUUACUGUGCUGCCAGAACAAAUACAUUCAUUGAGUGGUAAGUUAUAAUUUUCCAGAUUUAUGCAGUGUUGGAAUAUUCCCCAUGGUAUCUUUCUGUGCACAUUUUGCAAUUCAGCUGCUUAAGGAAAAUUCUGGGAUUUGAAUUGCAAUUAUUUUUAAGUAACAAGUAAUUUAGUAUAAAAAUGGUCUGGUGAGUGUCACAGUUGUCUUUAUGGUCUUAAGUUUCAACUUCACACUGUGAAGACAGUAAGGUUUGUUCGUCAGCCAGAUCUUGAAGCUGAGAAUAGAAUUAAUUAACUGAGAUUGGCAGUAUAUGCUUUCCCUAUGUCAGGACAAAACUUUACCAGUGUUUUGAAAACAACCUUCCAGUUGUUUUUAUAUUAUUCUGACACUUUCUGGGAGUAGUUUUCAUAAACUGUUUUUACAAAUCACUGACAAAUAGGAUCGUAGAAUCAUAGAACAGUUUGGGUUGGAAGGAACUUUAAAGACCAUGGAGCUCCAACCGCCUGCUGUGGGCAGGGCUGCCAAUCAUCAGAUCAGACUGCCUGGGGUCCCAUCCAACCUGGCCUCAAAUAACUCCACAUAUGCCUAAUAUUGAACAAAAUGAAUAUAAAUAGUUCAAGAUUCAAGGAACUUAGGAUAUAUAAAGGCACCUAUAUAAUGCAGUUCAGUGCACAUUGAAUGUUCCAAGUAUGAUCAGUGUAAGACCUUGUCUUUCCAUUUUCACAUUCAUAUUUUCAGGUUAGCACGAAGAAAGUUACUGUUCUUUAAUACAAAUGAGAUGAUCAAAAUUAUAUUUAUCUAUCUGAAAGAUUUUGAAGAUUUAAUACCUCUGUUAGUCCAUCUGCAGAGCCAACAGAAAUCCCAAGGUGGCCAUCUGGACAGAUUUCACUUCUAACAUUCAGCCACCAUUACUGUCUCUUCUCUUAGAAAUAUGUAAUUUGUGGGAAGCAGACAGAAGCAGUGUUAAGACAGCUGCCUGAAGUCUAGCUUUCUGGUCAGAAGUGAAAUGAAUAUUGAUGAAAGAAAGGAAAAUAAAGAAAUCAAGAAGUACAAAUGAAACACAUCUGUAUGAUUGCUGUUUUCCCAGAGAAGAGCUGAAAUGCAGAUUUUUUUCCUUCUGCACUUUGGAAGAUCCUCAGAUCCUCACAGUUUACCUGAGAUGGAAAGAUUUAUGUUAUCUCAAAGUAAUGCCAGAAUGUACUCAUUCUAAUAAUUUCAGAACUAAUGAUCACAGACAGAUGACUAAAUCAACCUAGCAGCUCUUUUUCUGUGCUGAAGUCUUUCUGUAUUUACAGAUAAUAAAAGACUAGAAGUCUUAAUAACAUCUAGUAUAAUCAGCUUAAGAUUUUGAGUUUUAUAAUGGACACAUGAAACUGAUAAUUGUUUCCAGUAGGCACAUCUAUCUGGAGCUGGAAAGCUGUUUCAAAUUCACUUUUUCUAUAGAACAAGGGCUGCUCCAGAAGUAAUGCCUCCUGUUUUAUUAUGUUGGCCUACAAUGUCAGAAGCAGGUGUUCGUGGCACGGCAGCAGGAGCUGGACAUUCCCACCAAAAUUUCAUUAUAUUUUGUUGCUCUGUGACAGAUGAAAGAAGAGGGACAGUCUGAGAAAAUGGCAUUUGACAUAGAAGUAAAUAUGUGCAAUUGAAUUCCUCCAUGCAUAGAAAAAUUGUACCCAUUGACAUUCAUUGACACUUGCUGCAAGUUCGUAGAGACCAUACAGUGGGUGUGAGCACACUAAGGUGGAGGAUGGUGUGUUACAGCAGUGGCAACAGUGACGUGAAAGACAAACCACGUCUUAUGAGAAAGGCAUGCAGGCACUUGUUCAUCAGUGUCAAAAAUGUGCAAUUAAUGGUUGCUACUACACUGAAAAUAAAUGUUUUGUGGCUGAGAAUAUUCUCUAUCAAAUAGUGCUAUUGUGCUGUUUGCAGGUGGUGAAUUUUUCAUGGAAAUAAAUAGGAGGCAUUACUUUCAGAGUGACCUAUGUAUGUUCUCCACUUUUUUUGAGAAGACCUAUUGAAGUUGGCAUAAUAAAAUAAUUUAUUCAGACAUUCAGUUUUCCUUAUAGUUCUGUCUUAGGCCCUUCCUUAUUGGACAGGCUACGUUUGACUUUUCAGAGGAGAUUAGGUCAAAGUCUCCAUCAGUUGCAGGGUCAGGAUUCUUUCCAUUUCCAACUCAAAAUCAGUCUUUUUUUUUUUUUUCUUGUAUCAUUGUACGGGAAAAUAAUAAAGAAUGUAUACUUUAUUUAGGUAUGUCUAUUACACAUUUGUGAGGUGGUCCCAUUGCUUUAAUGUAGAUGGAAUCUUUGCAGUAACAUAGAGAAAUGUGUUUACACAGUUAUGUUUAUUCACUCUCAUAUUCUGCCUUUGAAAGGACAAAUGUAUUUGCCUAAACUGUAAAAUGCUUUUUGCUAAUGCCUCUGAAAUCUUUACACUUACUGUUUUCCCUUCUUCCUAUGUCUCUUUAUCCCUUUGGAAUAUGAUCCUUUUCUCUCUGUCAUUUAGAUUCCUAUUCUUGACUACUGCAAGAUUCUUUCCUGCUACAUAGGAACCUAUGUUUUUCAAGUUUUUACUUUUGACCAAAGCUGUGUUCUUUGGCUCAUUUUUUACCCUCUUAUAUAACCUUCACUGAACUGAAAAAAAUGAUACAAGAAUUGUCUUUUAAACUUGAAUGAAGCGAUAUCAAACACUGUGCUGCCUAACAUAGAGAAAUGAAUUGAUUUGGGGAAAUUAAAUAUUGAUAUUAUGCUCUCAGGGCCAGCACAAAACUAGGCAAUUUCACAAAUUUUGCAUGGACCUCUGAGAGUUAGUGUGAAAAUAUAUUAAAGUAAAGGAAGUAGGGCAAGUGGCUAAAAGAAAGGAGUCUGUAGCUGACAUGUCGGCAUUGUAAGUUUUCAGCCCUUCUAAGCAGAGCUCCACUGAAUGUAAAAUGGCAAAGAGGAGAGGGUCUUUUGUGUCUCUCCUCAGAUAGGGGCAUUGACAACCUGAUUCAUUUUCAGUACAUGCUCUUGUACCUGCAUGAAGCAACUGUAGAACUACAGAGGACUUUCACUUGAAUUUGGUCCCUAGCUUAAGCCAAACAAAAAGACUUCUCUUCACAAGCUGCAGAAAUAGUUAAAGGGUAAGAAAUUUCAUGUCGGUCAUCAGUAUCAGAAAGUACUGCUGUGAAUGGUUUUGAUUUAUUUUAGUCUAUCAAGCUGAAUGUUAAUUUUCAUGCUAGAAAGAUGUCUUUACUUCCUUGAUUUAUUAAAUAAAAAUAGGUUAAAAAAAAAAAAAGAUUCUUUUAAAGAUACUCUUAAAUGUAUCUACUAUGAUUUAAAUUAAGCAUUAGCUUUUAUCUCUAAAAUGAAGAGCUCGGUUUACUUCUCUUAGUGACUUCGGUUUUAGAAGAAAAAAUUGUGUCCAUGUUCAGUUAUAUGUUCGAAAAACACUUAGUUACAGUCAGUUACAUAUACAUCUCCAAAUACCAGUAAAAUUUCCUCCACUUGUCUGUGUGUGUGUGUGUCUGUGUGUGCAGAUAAAGAUAGAUCGUCAAGCUCUUACCAUCUAGACACUCUUCUAUGUAUUAGGAAGGGAUAUGUUGUGAAGUAGGGCAUAAGCUUAUAAUCUAAGGUCAUAGAUUUGGAACUGCCUUGGAAGUGGUGUGUGAUGCUCAGCAAGACUGCUUUUCUUAACCUUUAUUGUUUGUGAAAUUCAGAAAUGUGCUUCCUGCUCGUACUAGUAAAAAUAACUUGUCUUAUUUUCAAAAUGGAACACGUGUAAAAAACAGCAUGAAAUAUUUUUUUCUACUAAGGAAAGUUUGCCUUGCUUUCUUAAAAAUGAACCCACUAAUCCCUUCUAGAUAUUCAGCAUGAAUGUCAUUUAGCACAGUCUGAGAGCAGAUAAAUAAUCCCAUUCUUCUCUGUUCUCAUUUUCUUAUAUUUCACUGUAUGAAUAAAACCACUUCGUACACUGCUAUGAAAGAGACAAUAUUUAGAAGCCAUAGAGAAGACUAUCAAUUCAUGAAACUGAAUUCUGUAAAGAAAUUCACUCUGAAACAAAAGUAUAUUUUAAAUGUUUUUCAUUUUGAAUAAACUAUACUUCUGUAAAGAUGAAUUUGUUAAAUCAAAAAUUUCUCAAAAUUGUGAUAAAAGAGAAAAAACUUGAAAAAAAACCCAAAAAACUAAACCUCUUCAAUGUCCCCAUUCUCCUCCACAUAAAUCUUCUGUUUAAUAUCAAGUAUCUAAACAUAAACCUAAUUUAAACCCUUUUAAAAUAGUAUUUUCUACUGUGAUUUCUGUAUUAUUAUUAUGUGUUAUAUUUACCUGUAGAUCUUUAACUGAUCUAGAUGAUUUUGAACUUUCUACUGCUGACUAUAUUUAUUCUUUUACAUAUGAAAAUGACUUUACAUAGUACACCAUUUUAUGAAUAUGACUGUAUUUAUUUCUUCUAGUAGGCCGAUAGUCUUUAAGCCUUUUAUUGUUAUUUAUUUUAAAAUGGGUAUUCUGAUGAAUUAUGAGCAUGUGCUGAAACACUAUCUGUAGCUCAAGUUGGAAUACAGCUUUUUGUUCUGUGUACUUUACAGCACUUAAAUCUUUCUCCUUCCCGGACUCUCUGUAUUUUUUUUCAUUUUUAAAAGCCUUCUGUUUAUUGCUUCCACUAAUCUUUAGAUCUCUACUUAACCUCAUUGCCCACUGUUGCCCUUUUCUACAUUUAGAUUUAACCAGCAUGUCAAUUACAGUCUCUCCAGAAAAUUUCUGAAGCAUUUUCCAUUUUUAAUUUUAAAAACCCACCUUUUAAAAUGGUACUUGAACAAUAUCACAGCUUUCUUCAAGUACUGUGUUCAGAGAACUCUGUGUUCUUCCUGGUCCUUAGAAAAUGUCAGUAGAAUUGGAGAAAAGAUGGAAUGUAAAGAUAUAUGUAUAUAUAUUUAUAUAAAAAAUAUAUAUGUAUAUAUAUUUAAAUAUCCAAAAAACCUCGUGAAAUUCAUUGAAUGUACUCGCUAUUGAUACAGUCUUGAGAGAAAGCCAAGUCACAAGUGUUAAAGGGUCUAAGUCUUACACACAAAAACUGAAGCACCUGUGAGAAGUCUGAGAGAAAUCAAGAAUGGUGUAACAGGUGUAUCUGAGAAGAUAAAAUAAAAUACAGAUGACUCCUUAAGUUCUAGAGUAGGGCUAAUAAUACCCAUCUUCCAAGGGUCACUCACUGCUGGAGUUACUGUUUUUUAUUGUUCUAAAUUAUCAUAUUCUUGGCAGUUUUUAAUGCUAUCAGCAAAUUCAUUUCUCAGUUUAAUUUUAUUGUCUACAUUUAGAUAAGAUUUUCAUUUUUAGCAUUUGAGAAGGUAGAAUGCAGAAACCCAUUGUAUUUUGCUGGAUUCUUUAAAGAUGAGUUCAUAAAUAUUGAAAUAACAUUCUAGACUGUCUUUUGUUUGAAGAUUUUCCAUACAUUUUUUUCAGUUAUAAAAACAAGUUUUUCUGAAUUUGUCUUGACAAUUUUAUAAGAUUGUGUAUCAUCUAAUUGUGGCUCAGCCUUGUCCACCUUCAGUUCUAUAAGAGAGAAAUUGACAUCUUGGAGUUGUAGAGUUUUACUGCCCAUGUUCAAUUAUUUCUGUCACUUGGAUCACAAUGUGUAACUCUAAAUAAUGCCUUUCUUUCUUUAGUUAUCUUCUUUACCUUUCUAGCAGGUAUGACAAAACCACACCCUUUAUAAAUCAUAAAUAAUUUACUUCUUAUAGCAUGAAUUUUUCUUAGUUGCUACAAAUGAAAAAUAUUUUUGGUACAGGCAAUUAAUGUUCUGAUGGUGCCAGAAUAGGUGCUGGAAUUUAUUUGUUAAUGGCACUAAUUUUGUAUGUUAAAAAUAAUAUGGUUCUCAGCUCUCUGAAUGUGAGAACUUCUCAAAAGGUCAAAUCUGUGUGGUUCAACUAAAAAGAGAGGUGGAAAUUAACUUUGGAACAGGAGGACAUAGUUUAGUUCAUUGGGAGCCAAUUAGUUCUCUUCCAGAAUACAGAAAGAGUAUUGUAAGCAAAUGGUACUAUAGCUGCAUUUGAGUAAAGACACAUGGAGCUGCAUUACCCAACUCAAUUUUUAUGUUUUAAACAACCAUUUCCAUUACCCCUGUGAAACAUCACACAUGGAAGUCUCUUGAGGCUCUGUGUUUCAUUGGUGACUUUCUAGCCUACUUCCCUCAGCCUGCCUCAUUUUUUAAUUUGCACAGUACACUUGAGUUCUUUGGUUAGACAGUCAAAGAAAAGAUCUGUCAGAGGGAUUAGUAAGAAGACUUAAGGUUGUCUCAAGCAAGCUUAUGGUAAAAGGAUUUAAACAUACCAAGCAUUAGUGAAAGUGGUUGGCUAAAGAGGUGCAAACUUUCUACCUGUAGCCUGCUUUUCUGCAAGUCCCCAGUCAGUGAGCAGUUAUUCACCAGCCAUCUACAAAAUACACAGAGGUGUUCAUAUUCUUAAUGAUGUAGUCUAAAACAGUGCAAGGAGCAAAAACAAUAGAAGCAGAAAGAAAGAAUAUCUCAUACCGUCUUCCCCUACUACGGUACAUACUAUAUAAUAAAAAUGUGUCAUGGUUUUAUGAUUUCUGUUAUUGGUAUUCCACAUCAUAACAUCAUGUAGUGCACUUGGUGUUAAAGAGUUAAUGCUCCAGUUGCAUGGAUUGUCAGUAUUUUUGGGUACCUGGUUCUCACAAGAGAAGAACUACAUAAACCAGCAGACUUUUAUUGUUACAUUUCCUGUUUCCAUUUUCCAUUUAGAGGGAAAGAUAAAACUCCCUAGUCAUGAGAUUGGUUCCUUCUUUUACUGCUUGCCCCUGCAGUGUAUUCUUCCUAGCCAUCUCACCUUCAGUGCUAGAGUAAAGUCUUCAGUUUUGGACACUUUCUCAUUUAUUUGAUUUAUUAGCUUCAAUUCCAAUUAUAUUAGAUUACAUUGUGUUAUCUCACAUUCCACUGGCAUAUUUAGUGAAUUAGUUUUCUCCCUUAGCUUGUUGCCACUGUUUCGUUUUGUUUUUAGGCCCUCCUCUCUACCUUUUUCCCCUUUUUCUCUUCCCCCUAUCCUGGGGCAUGGGUCAGUGGGUCCCUCCACUGCACUAGUCAUGGAACUGGGCCAAACUGGCCCCAAACCCAUGCCAAAGUGUGAGAUUUGCAGCUUAGGAAGUCCUACUUCUGGGAAGCUUUAGUUCUGAAGUACCUUGAUCCUGCAGGUGCUUUUGCAUCCUGUCACCCACAGUCUUGCUUACUCUGAAUACAUGCUAUUGCAUACUCUAAGGCACUCUGAAGCUAAGCUUAUACAAUAUGUUUAUAAUCACAUAUUCAUUUCUAAAUGCAUUUUGAUUUCUACUCACUUCAUUGAUGUUUUACAAUAUUGAAUAAUUAUGACGAUUGGUUUUCAGUUAAAGAGCAAAAAUCUAGAGACUCAAAAUACUCAGGUGCAUGAUGAUUCUCCCAGAAAACAGCUACUCAUCUGUUUGGCUGGAGACUAUUCACAUUUUUACCAUGAAACACAUACUAUGAUAAAUAAAAUUGUAUCCUUGGAUAAUUUCUGUGUGUCAGCAAGCAGUUCUAGCCAGGGUGCCCAUGUAUGGUUUCUGACAUGGAAUGACAUGUGUUCACAACUGCCAGUCAUUCUAACUGAAAGAAGGGACAGUCUGCACACAGCAGGGUCAUGACAUCUAGCAGCCUGAGUAAACAAACUAGUGUUUCUCUCUCUCCUUCUUCCUCUUUCCAGACUGCUAAGGAGAAGUCAUAAACAUUUUACUUUUUUGGUUAUUUACUAGAACAAGAAGUCUCUGCUUUCCUUUUUUCAUCCAAGAUGGCACUAUGGAUAAUUUGUAAUUUAGAAGAUUUAGAACAUUUCACCUACUAAGUAUGAUAAAUACAAGCAACCAACAGAGGAAAAGUUACAUUUUAUUUCUUAUGGCAGAUUGUUGUAUUAUGCUUUGCUGAAAUAUAUACAAUUAAAUUGUCCAUCAACUAUUUUAUCAGCAACUCAUUAGAAGAAACUGUACAUUUAAAAUAGAGUAAUAAUGAACUUAGAUACAUUUUUUCAGCACAGCUGAGAGACUGCUUUCCAGUGCUGCCAUAUAAGGUAAUCAGGAAACACUGGACCCUGGUUCUGCUUAUUCAAGUGUAACCAAGAUUUGGAGUUUCCAAGUCCACUUUAAAAACCUUUAACUACUUAAAGCAUUGGAAUAAAGCUGACCACAAAGAUGGAAAAGAGAUGGAAGAGUGAGAAGAAGGAAAAAGAAGUUUUGAAGCAGAGACCAGAAAAAGAAAGACUGCGAAUGAUUUUGAAGCUCAUACAAGAUGUAGAAUGCCAAUCUCUUCUCUGUGUUCUAGAGGAGCUUUAAACAGCAAGCAAUAGAGUUGGCCAACUGAAGCACAUUAUUCAGCUGUGUUCUCUUUGGAGAUAACUGGUAAUUCUGAAAGGGAGAUGAGGAAGAAAGAAAGAAAGCUAUAACUUCUUGGUUUGUAAAUCUGCUGGUGAUAUAGUGAACUUAGAUUAAUUUCACAGCUCAAUCUUGAUAGUUAAAGUUGUGUUUUGUGUUUGAUCAUCCUAGGCCUGAGAACAUCCCUGUUAACCUUGUUGCAGCUCUCAACAAUGUAAAAAAAACUUCCUACCAAAUUAUAUUUUUAAUACACCUUAUGAUUUGGUAUAGAUAUGAAGGUAGAUGAAGAGGACAUAAAGAGAUACGUAGAAAAAGACCCAUAGUCCUUAAAAGGAGUUUUGCUCACUUCUGUAAAGGGACUGCAACAGUCCUUGUAGUAUUUUUUUUUGCAGGUGCUAUAAGAAUUACUCUGAAUGGCAGAAGAUGAACUUUGGCAGAAAAUACAGCGGAAACUUCAGCAGCUUAGGCAUGGUUAUAUACAGGUCUCAAUUGCUUUUAACUGAAGUCUUGUUUUGUUGUCUACAAAGGUUGUCUUGCUUUCAGAAAAGUAUGAGCUAUGUUUCAAUGAGACAGAAUUCUGAAAAAAAAAAAAAAGUUUGAUGUUAUUUACAUUCACUGUAACUAAUCUGAAUCACUGAUUCUGGUUGGGACUGACAUCCCUGUCUAAGUCCCAAACCUAGUAUGAUUUUGUAUGUAGAGCCAGUUUAAAGUCACAGGCUCAGCUAGGUCUAGCUAGAACUGAUGAAGGAUAGAAGAUACAGAUUAAACAUUUUUCUCUAUUGUGAGACUAUAAAUAAAAAAUUGAAUGUGACCUUAUAACCAAAUGAUUUAUUCAUUGCUAUAUUAUUGAUAUCAAUGUGAAAUGUGUUACUUUGCUGAGAAAGGGAAGGAUUUUGUGAGGAUACUGAAUGGUUGUUUUUUUUUUAGUGUCCUUAAAGUACAAACUGAUGGGGUCUGCUUCCUCUGUAGAAAUGGUAGUUUUCACUCAAAAGAAUAAAUGCUGUCACUUUAUGCUUCACAACUCUAGAAUGUUUCAGUUGUAGUGAAAACCCAGGAGUUUCUUGGCUUUUUGCUUUUAGUGGAGGACACAUUACUCUGUGAGAGACUUUACUUGGACAAAAUAACAUAGAAAAUGUUAACUUAGAAAAUAGACCAAAUAAUCUGCCACAGCUGUAGUUGUUUUUGUUUUGUUUUGUUUUUUACAAAUCAGCAAUGAACAAUUUGAUCUAAUUCAGAAAUAAUCAAAGGCUGCAUAAAUAUUUGGCUGCUACAAGUUUAAAAUAGUACCACGAUAAAAUUUCACGUACACAUGUCUUCUAAGAACAUAUUUCUUGUAAAUUUCACUGCACUGAAUAAUAACUUGAAUUAUUUUUAUCAGUACAAAAGUAAGUCUCCCUACACUACUCUAUUUUUUAUUAACAAUCACUUUUUAAUCUGUAUAUACUAUAUACAGCUAGUAGCUCUUUCAUUUUUGUACUUUCAAUCUGCUUCACAGGGUAUUAAUUAUGCACAAGUUGGCUACAUCUCUUCUGUCAUACCGAACAGCCACAUCUGCAUUUAAUCAUUCAUUAUAUGCUGUAAUCUACCACCUAACUUCCAGUCACUUUUACUAUCUAAAAGCAAGUAGGAGGUACUUAAGAAUCUAUCCCUGAAUAUCUAAUUGCAUACUUAACUGAUUAGUUUUAUAUGACAGUCUCUUAUAAACAUGCUAAUAAGUUGAAGACUCUUAAUUUGUACCUACAUGCUACUGAUUUCUGUAUGAUUAUACAUAAUGAACUCAUCAUGAUCACACUUAGUGCUGCUCUUCUGAGAAUCAUGAAAAUAAAUGCAGAGUUUGGAGAGAAGGAUGUAGACAAAGGCAGAAAUGAUCAGUAAUAUGUUGCUUUGUAAGAGAUUUGAUGAGAAACUUCAUACAGGUUUGCUUUGAGAAAUGGCUUAUUCCAAAUAGUUCAAGAGGAAAUAAAAGGACCAUGAAAACCUGGACAAUGAGGUAAACAAAAGUGAAAAGAAUCCACACAGAUGCUGUUUUACACCUAGCUCAACUAAUAACACCCAUCAUGCUCAGAGAUACAGGAAAAAGUGAAUCCAUGCCAAAUAAACCACCUCAGGUGUCAGUACUGGUGACUUCUAGUUACUUCCAAGCAUCUCAGUUAUUCACAGAACAGAGGCAAUGGGAGAGGUCCAAAGGAACUCUGUAUUGCCAUGUCACUGCUUUUCUGAGUAUUUCAAUACCUCCAUUAAAGUAAUGCCAUUACUAUGACCAAUUCACAAGCUUGAUUGAAAUUUCUUUAACAAUGUACAAUGUUGCAGACAGGAUGAGGUUAUCCAUUCCACCUCUGCUUUUUCUAGGGCAAUAGCUGAGAAAGGGAGUUUUAAAGGUAAACAGAAAUCUGAGGUAAUUCCUAAAGAAAAUGAACACUUACUAACUUUAAAGUAGUUAUUGUUAUACAAAGUGAGUUUUUGGGGUUAGCACAAAAGAAGAACAGCAUUUAAGGUCAAUAAAGGUGCAAUACUUUCCAUUGUUCACUGCAUUUCUACAUAAGUCUUAGAAACAGCACAAUCUGUAGCUCUCUUAUACAUAUAGGUAGCCUCUGGAGCUAUAUCACGGUUGUCCGUGAUUUUUCACUUGUUAUUAAAGGGCAUGAAUUCUUCCAAAGGGCAAGGCUAGUGCAUUUACUCAGACUCCUACGCAAAUUGUCCCAGGAUCCUAAUUUGAUGUACCUCAGUGGAAAGUGAUUAGGGUCAGAGGACUUAAGCUGUAUUCUAACACAUAUUAGAUUUAAAUAAUCCUGUCUCAUCUCUUCUGGCUCCUAACCAGUUUAUUUUAACACUAAGUGAGUUUGUUUGUAAAGUCUAAAUGAAUUUUAACAGCUUCUAGUGACAUUUUACUAGAAAACAGAAAAACUGUAGCAAUUCAGGUUCCAAAGUGUAUCAGCGUUCAAUUUUUGAGGGUUUCUCAGUAGACUGAACUUUCCAGAGAUCCUUAUCAUUCAUAUAAAAUAGAUUGGGAUAAUAUCCUCAGAGUUAAUCUAUUUAAAAUGAAUAGUGAUCUUAGAUCCUUUCGGCAUUGGAUUUGUUAAGAAGAAAGUGAUAUUACUGCAGAGUUAGUCCCACUUCCAAGGCCAUGCAAUGGCUUUUCUCAAGCAAUUAAGAAGCUGUACAACUUCUACCUUUAAGAUAACUGUGGAAGAUAUAAUCUUUUAAGAUUAGACUACUCUACUGAUAGAAUUUAUCUUCUUUUCUCUCAUUAAAUAUUUUAAGAUUCUAAUUAACAGACCCUAUUCAAGAAUUUCUGAGAUGAAUGAAGGCAUAUUCAUAUUUUCUGAGAGCACUUUAUUCAGUCUUAUUUUAAAAGCCUAAAUUACAUAUAAGGUAUAUAUGUGUUUUUAAAUACAUUAGUCAGAAGGAAAUGAGUAAUAAUGCUGCACUGUAUUGUGCUGAUCUGUCCAGGCAUAGAAGAGGAUAAGUUGCUAUAUUUAUUGAUGCAAAACUUGUGGAUAACCUUGGUAAACCUUGCAUUUCCUCUGCAAUAGCUACAAAUGGUGGUUAAUGUUAAGCGAGAAAUUUGCAGAAAGCUUAUUAAAAACACAGCCUGUUUCUGCAGACUUUGUUUCACUUUGACAUUUUAACCACAGUUUACCAGGAUGUGUCAAAACUUCUUGACUAGUCAUAGCAAUCUCCUCAGAAAAUAUGAGGAAAAGGUUUCUGUGCUCUUUCUUUCUUUCCUCCUUCUUUCUCUAUCCAUAAAUAUUUCAUAGAAUCAUACAGUUUUUUGAGUUGGAAGGGACCCUUAAAAGUCAACUAGUCCAACUCCCCUGUAAUUAAUAGGGACAUCCACAGCUAGAUCAGAUUUCUUAGAGUUUGUUCCAGCCUGAUCUUAAAUGUUUCUAGGGACUGGGAGUCCACCACCUCUCUGGGCAACCUGUUCCAAUGCUUCACUGCUGUUAUCAUUAAAAAAAACUUUGUUCUUAUACCCAAUCUAAAUCUCCUCUCUUUUAGUUUGAAACUAUUUCCCCUUGUCCUAUUAGAAAAGACCCUACUAAAGAGUCUGUCUCCUUCCUUCUCAUAGCUCCUUUUAAACACUGAAAGGUCACUAUCACGUUUCCCUGGAGCCUUCUGUUCUCCAAGCUGGACAGUCCCAGCUCUCUCAGCCUGUCCUCUUAAGGGAGUUGUUCCACCCCUUGGAUCUUUUUUAUGGCCCUCCUCUGGAUGCUUUCUGACAGAUCCACACCUCUCCUGUACUGAGGACUUCACAUCUGUCAUUGCUGCAGAGACCAGCUUUAGAGCAGGUAAGACUGCACUGAGUAAGGGACCUAAAGCAAAAAGGCCGACCAAAAAGCUCUUUUUAGGGCUUUUUUGAAGCUAGAAAAAGCACUGUACCAGUGCCAGGGGGCUGGCAGCUUGUGGGUGGGCUGCUGAGCCAGCAGGGGCAGAGCUGUCACUGCCCACUCUUAUCUCGUGAGUUCGACCUUGACCCUUUGCUGUGUGGCUAAAAUCAGCCUUCUGGAUGGCAGAAACAAGCUUCCACCCACUUAACACACCAGGUGAGAAAAGGGUGUUACCUUCCACUGACAAGAGGAAGGGAAGUCAGUGUGUGAGCACAGCCCACACUACCCAUACAGUACUGCAGCAGCGGGUGUGAGUGGUGGGUCUUGUGGCAGGACACAUGAGUGUUUUUUGUCUUUGCUCAGACCGGGUCUCCUAUGGACAGACCCUGAGACCACCAGUUCAAACAUGGUCUCUACCAGGCAGCAGGCUUUCCCCAUGAAAACUGUGGAGACCCAGGCAGAGGGCCUGCCCAGAAAUGCUGCCGUUCAGGUCUCUGGCUGCAGGGAGUGCCUGAGCCUGCUGCUGCCAAGGGAGGAUGGGAAGGAUCCCACCUGCGUGAGGUGCGAGCAGGUAGACAAGCUGCUCAGCCUGGUGGUGGAGCUCAGGGAGGAGGUGGAGAGAUUAAGAACUAUCAGAGAGUGCGACCUUCUAGAGGCUUGGGGCAGAGUGGCUGGAAGACUGUGUAGAGAUGGACCUGAGGGUAUUGAUUGAUGCUCAACUGAACAUGAGCCAGCAGUGUGCCCAGGUGGCCAAGAAGGCCAAUGGCAUCCUGGCUUGUAUCAGAAAUAGUGUUGCCAGCAGGAACAGGGAAGUAAUUAUCCCCCUGUACUCAGCACUGGUGAGGCUGUACCUUGAGUACUGUGUACAGUUUUGGGCCCCUCACUGUAAGAAAGACAUCGAAGCCCUGGAUCGUGUCCAGAGGAGGGCAACAAAGCUGGUGAGGGGUCUGGAGCACAGGCCUUACGAGGAGUGGCUGAAGGAGCUGGGAUUGUUCAGUCUAGAGAAGAGGAGGCUCGGGAGAGACCGAAUUGAGAACGAUUCUAUGAUUCUGUAUUCCUCUUUUCCCAAAAGACUUAAUUCAAUACUCUUCCUAAACUGGUCAUUUGUUGGAAGCAUCUAACUUUACCACUAUAUAAAAUACAUAAACCAUUUUUCAUUACAUAAACUAUUAUCUUAACAGAUCAGGAUAAGAAAUGAAAAGUUGUUUUCUUGUGACACCAGCAAGGACAUCUAUGUAGGGGAAAAAAGGGAAUGUAUUAAGAAAGUAAACAACUGAUCACAGACAUCUCGGAGAAUGUGUGGAUCUUUUACACUGAGUUAUAAUAUCAAACUGCACUAGGGCAACAAGGAAUUCAAAAGGUUAUGCUUCUUUGCAUCUGUAAAUACAUGGAUGUUUGGAAAAUAUGUUUAAUGUUUUUAAAAAAUGAUUCAGCAAAGAAAAAGAGCAGUGCAGUGAGAUAAAAAGAUGAUUUAUCCUGUGGCCAGUGUGCUUCAAAUUGACCAGAGAAAGUAAUCUAAUCAGACUUUAUUAAACUGAUUCUGCAGUACAUCCCCAGUGCCUGGAAGCAUUGUCUGAGCUGGUCUGCAGUCUAAUCCUACUUUAGGAGGUUUGCCAACUAUUUAGCCUUUUCUAAGUAGAAAUAGAGCCACAAAAAUUUAAUUACUGCUAUUUUAAUAAGGAAAAUGUAAAACGUUGAUGAUGUCUGACAUAUGAAAGAAGCUGCAUUAGUGACAACAGUAUUUAAAAAACUCUGAUCAAGCACAACCUUUUUAUUUUGAGCAAGAUAUAGCAGAUAAUGUAGGCUCAAAAACCAGCCUAAAGAGCUGCUGCCAGGUUAUAUAAUCUUUGAGCACUCAUCCAAGGCAGUCCUGAAGCCAAACACAGAGAGGAGAAUUGCUAAGGGGUUGUGUUUGCUUCAACAGUUUCCCCCACUGCAUGACAAUCUCUGCCCCAUAAGCUGGCAGUGUUGAUGGUGGCUGUUUCAGAUUUCUAUAGAAAAAUAAGCUCAAUUCAUGUAAAAUAAUGUUUCCCACAGAUGACCUAAAAAGCAUGCCCAGAAAAUAAGUGCAGACUGUUGUCAGUCCUUGCUGGCAUUUGCAGAUGUCUAAGUUUCCUUCCAUCAUCCUUUGUAUGCUAGGUUAAAUCCUAGAAAGUUGCCAUGUCUCCUGGUAAAAAGAUUGCAUGGAGAAAUUCCUCUUCAAUCACACUACAAUGAACAAAGUUCCCAUGUUACAUUAUGGCAAUAAGUCACUACUUUUCAUGCACAUCUGUCAAUUUCAGGAGGUAUUGCAUUCCCUUGGGUGCAAUCCCCUUCAGUGUUUCACUGAAGAUAGGGUUACUGCUCUGUGUGGUUUCCUUUCACACAAGAGUAAUAUAGCACUUUUUCACUGAAAAAGGUCAGAAAAUUGCAACUUGUUGAUUACACUGUUCAAGAAGUUGCUCUCUCUUUUGCAUUUUGCCUGCAGCACUGCUACUGCACAAUAUUCCACUUUGAGUCUUGGGUCUACUUGUGAUUCUGUUUGUUUCUCCUGGACAAGCAGCACUACUUGUGUAAUCCUCUGAUGCAUAUUGAUGCCUUAAGUUGCUAACUCUGGCUUCUCUCCUUCUGCAUACUUCUAUUUCUUCAUGAACUUGUCCUUCAAGGCACAUGUCAGUAUUUGUUGUGGAAUGGACAAUGGCUGCCAGUACUCAAGUACUGUCUUUCCUUUUUGCCUCAACCAGGGUGGGCUUGCAUUUAUAGCCCAGUAGGCCAACUGUAUCCUAGGCUACAUCAAGAGAGGGGUGGCCAGCAAGGCAUGGGAGGUGAUUGUUGUCCUCUACUCUGCCCUCAUGAGGCCCCAUCUGGAGUACAGAAUCCAGAUCUGGGGCCCCCAGCACAAGUGGAGCAAUUGGAGGGGGUCCGGAGGAAGUCCAUGAAGAUGAUUAGAAGGCUGGAGCAUCUCUCCAAUGAAGAAGGAGGUGUUCAAGGCCAGGUUGGAUGGAUCCUGAGCAAUCUAAUCCAGUGCUUGAUUUAGAGGUUGGCAACAUUGCCCCAUGGCAAGAAGAUUGGAACUAGACGAUCCUUAAGGUCCCUUCUAACUCAAGCCAUUCUGUGAUUCUGUGUUUCAAUGAUUCUAUGAUAGAUGUAUGUGGAAACAGGGAAGUCUUGAGUUUUCAGGGUACAAAUGAUUUAGAUUUCCAUGGAAGGAAUUUUGCCUUCCAGAGUUCAUUCUGGGAUUUAAUUCUGUUUUAAAAUCAUUUGACCAAUGCUAGCGUGCUUCCAUAAUACUCACUGAUGGGUAUUGUUUCACUUAUAUGCAUUUUACUUCAGGGAACAUUGUGAAAAUAUUUCACUUCUUAUGUCUGCAAAAAUAUGGAUUAGAAUUGCUCAAUCCAAAAAAAAGAACAAGCAAAUAAUGUCAAGUUCACAAAAUUAAAGGCAAUUAUAGACUAUUUUAUAUACAUUUAAAAAAUAAAGCAAUAAAUGGCCAGUUUUGAACAUUCUCAGUGAUCACUAGAGAUUAGCUGUUAUGUUUUAUAUUCUCUGUUAUCUUUCAAGCAGAAAACCAAAUUUCUAGCCUGUUUCUUUAAAAUUCCUAGGUUUUGUAUGUGUGGUGCUCAUUCAAUUAUUUUAUAUAUUUAUUUUGCUUGUUUGAUGGCUUUGCAUUUGGAAGGCUGCCUGAGGAGAGAUGCCUGAAGGAAAAGAGGAAAUCCAGACAACUAUAAAAAUAUCCUACAUGUUUUCACAGCAAAAAAUGCAUGGGCACAAUGGCAGAUCUCUCCCAUGUUAACGCUGCAGCUGCAUAUAACAGAGGAGACUGCAUCACUAUCACCCUGGUGUGACAUUUUUGUGAGAUGCAGUUAGUACAAUGCUGUGACAUUUACAGUGUUGUGCACUGCAUUUAGUGGCAGAUCUGCUAACAACAGCAGAUCUAUUCCUGGCCACAUAGAGUGGAAUGCUGCCUACUCACUCUCUCCUCUCUGCAUUGGUUUCCUGCCCUAAUGUACGUUACAUUUAGAACUUUGAUGUUAACUGAAGGCCAGCCAAAAAAGGACUUGGAAUCUGAAUGCUUUCAUAUUUCUGGAUAUGGGGUGGUUUUGAAUUUCCAGAUUAGUAGUAACUCAUCUGAUGUUAGUGUUGAGUUGUUUCCAGAACCAUAUGGGACCUAAUUUCUAAUGCAGCCAAGAACUUAAAGCCAAUCUGAAGAAAUGUGGGACAAGCUGACAAAAAAAAAAAGUAUCACAGGCAGAAUAACAGUGAAAGAUUUACAUCAGUUUCCCCCUCAUAAACUUUAGUCAUUUGCCUUGAAGUUACUCAGAAGUUACACCGAUGUCUAUUAUUUUCUUAUUCAGUGGUACAAAUGUUCAUACUCAUCUCAUCUGUGUAAAUAUACAUCCGUGUAAAUAUGAAAGUGAUUAGAUCAAAGAAAACUCUCUUUUUCAUUUUCCUGAAGUAACUAAUUUUAUCAGCUAAGCAUUAAGUGUACUUUUUAAAAUGAUCGUUCAUGCUUUCGCUGAUAAACAGGAGAUAACUAACUGCAUGUCCCAGGCAACUACUUUAUUGAAGUGAGAUGAAUGAUUUUCUGAAGGCUCCCUUCUUCAUGAGCUGCAGUGAUCCUAGACAGUUAUUCUAGACAUUUGGUGUUUAUACAUCUCAGUGUUUUCACACAACUCUGUGUUCCUACCCUUUGUGUAACUUUUAUAUGCAAAAACCAUUGAGCAAUGUAAAAUAUGACCCCCAUUUUAGAACAAUCCCAAGAGAAUUUUUUUUAAAAUAAAUUUCAUCUACCUGGAAAUGUUAGGACAAAAGUAAGAUUUUCAUGGUUUUCCAUUACUCCCUGUAAAAGCAGAGAAAAAAAGUCUGUUAGAUUUACGAAUAAAAGGAAAUUGGCUGAAAAGAGCUAAUUCAUAAUGAAACUAACUUGUCAGACUAUUUUCAUAGCACUAUCUGUAUAAAGAUUAAAAAAAAAACACCUCUCAUAAAAUAUUAAUGCUUUAACCUUUAAGUUAUUAGCCCUUAUAAAUUUAAACUACUGCUUACAUUGUAAAGAUGGAAAAGUUUAAGCUAACAGGAAGAGUUGAAAACAGGGCUUUAUCUUCUCUCUCCUAUGGCUGGGUUUUUAAUAUGUUAUCAUUCUUCUCUCUCUCUAAAUCAGUAAAUUAAGUGAUGUUAAUCAUCUCAAAAGCAGAUACACUUCUAGUACAUGUGUAACACACACUAAAGACACAUUUGAGCCUCCCUCACAAGAGAAAGGAUUGAUCAAAUAUAGCUCUUCAGUGUGAGGAGGCACUGGGACAUCAUUUUUUCCCAGUACCUUUCCCAAAACAGUAGCAUAAAAAACAUCUCUAAAAUGCCUGUAGUAGAAAUCAGUAUAGCCAGUAGGAUCUCAACACAACAGAUGAAACUGAAGUGCAUAAAUAGUGAAUUGCACUGCAGCCAGCUUUUUAGUUUGUGGGAGCUUCAAUUACCACAUUGUCCCCUUUACAAGGCAUGAGGAUGCAACACAUUUGUGGCAGGGUAAUGUGAGCACUCCCUGCAUCCACAUCACAGGCUGAACCCAUCACCACUCACAAAGAGCACAUGCAGCUGGGGUAAAUUCAGCCUGGACAUUUCAGUCGUCUUUGGCACCGAGGAAUGGGAAUUUUUUAAUGUAUGUUAUUCUUCUGAGGAAUGUAAAAUAUUUUCAUUUGGGACUUUUAAAUCCUCAAAUGUACACUCUGUGAACUGUUGACAUGAUGUUUUCAGGUCAAUAUAUCAACCAGAUUCCAAGAAUCCAAGAAUCAGCAGCUGCUAUUGUAAUUUUCCUAUGGGCUUCUAUUAAGUUGUUUCAAAAUUUGUGUUAAAAAUCAUGCUGGGAUAGAUCUGGAAAGGUGAAACAAGCAAGCAAAAAACUUUUGAAAAUUAUAUUUGCUAUGCACAAAUGAUUACCCAUUUGCACAUUAAUAUGCACUAUUUUGUAUGUAUGUGUAAGAGAUUAUUCUUUUAUAUCAUUGACUCAAAGUUUGCUGAGGAACAAGUCCAGGCAAGUCCUGGGCAAAGGCAGAGAAAUCUUUUGUCUUGAGGACACUGAUGGACAGGUCCUGGCUAAGGAUUGUGAAAUCCUCUAAGGAGCACAGCUGGACAAGGCCAGGGGCAUCGAGAGAGAGAUAAGCUGCUGCUAAUGGCCGGGAAACGGUCUUUUUGUGUGGACUUAUCUCAAGGAAAAUGGCCAUCUCAGGAGGUAUGCACAGGACUCUUGCUCAAGCACCCAGGAAUGUCACGUAGGCAGCAGAAAAUGGAGGAUAAAAGAGGGUCCAACAACCACGGCUAGGUGGAGGCUGAUCUCUCACCACGACACGAGCUUUCUGCCUUCAGAUCCUUCUCUACGGACCGUUUGCUGACGGACUUCCCUGGGCCUGCUACCUGAGACCUGCUGCUUCCUCCCUGACCUGCACUCUCUCGUUGCCCAAGACCGGCCUCGCUGCUCCUGCCCUUCGGCGUCGGAACGUCGUGCUACAGGACUGCUGCCGGAUUCUGGUGGUAACUAUCCCCGCUUUAUGCAAUUCUUGCCUCUUUCUAUCUUUUCCAUCGCUCGCCUUCCCUUCCCCAUCACCCCAACCCUUAAUAGUGUCCGUCCUCCCCUUUCCCCAUCUCCCUUAUUAACAUUUGUAAUAAACUGUUCGGACCAACAUUUGAACCGUUGUUUCUUAAUCUCACGCCGGGCAUACAUAUUUCAAAGAACCUCCUCUCCCUCCUAUAAAUUGGAGUGAGACAGUAUGUAAGCAGGUACUUAUAUUUAAAAUCAAUUAAAAAAUCUCCCCUAAGAAAUCAUGUCAUGUUACACACAAUUAUAUGCACAACAAUGCAUUGCACAGGGGCCUUGUAUCGCUGUUUCUUUGGCAAAGCAGUUGACUAGUACUGCAACCACAAUAACCACUCUUUCAAGGUUGUGGAAAACUCUGGAUUUCACUGCAACUCUUUCCUCCCUGAAUAUUCAGAUUUCUCUUUAAAGUUAAGGAGGACGUAUGAGGGCAUGAUGUGCAUACAGGUAACAUUCUGAUAUAAAGGCUUUUUUUCAUACAGCUGAGAUGCAGGCAGUGGUUUGGCUGUGAACACAUUGAAGAGGAGAACUUAUUUAAGAGUGAACUCAGGUCAUAUGUUUCUAAACAUUCUUCAGCAAACAUUAGGCAUCUUAACAGUGUAUGAUGGCCUUGUCUUCCUGCGUAGACUUGACUGAAUAAAGAAUGAUCCCUUAGAUAACAAGAAUUUACCUACAGGCUCUAUAGGAUUCCUAUAUUUAGCCAUAAACAACGGCAGUAACAGAACAUACUGUAUUUUCCUUCUGCUCCAGUUAGUGUUAAGUGUUACAAAAAUUAACUGAUACAGACUGUUAUAUUCUUUGCACCAAAAUCUUUGUGGAAAGUGACAUCGCCAUGUGCUUUGUAACUAGCGAGACAUUUUUUUUCCCCCAUGUACUUUGUUUCUAAAUAAAGCAACAACUAUUUUG